GUUACAGCCGCCGCGGUAAGACGAAGGGGGCUAGCGUUGUUCGGAAUUACUGGGCGUAAAGCGCACGUAGGCGGCUUUUCAAGUCAGAUGUGAAAGCCCCGGGCUUAACCCGGGAACAGCAUUUGAUACUGUUGAGCUCGAGACCGGGAGAGGAUAGCGGAAUUCCCAGUGUAGAGGUGAAAUUCGUAGAUAUUGGGAAGAACACCAGUGGCGAAGGCGGCUAUCUGGACCGGUACUGACGCUGAGGUGCGAAAGCGUGGGGAGCAAACAGGAUUAGAAACCCGCGUAGUCC
rnacentral:rRNA from 1 species